AUUGAACGCUGGCGGCAGGCCUAACACAUGCAAGUCGAGCGGAGCGGCGGACGGGUGAGUAAUGCCUAGGAAUCUGCCUGGUAGUGGGGGAUAACGUCCGGAAACGGGCGCUAAUACCGCAUACUAUCAGAUGAGCCUAGGUCGGAUUAGCUAGUUGGGGGGGUAAAGGCCUACCAAGGCGACGAUCCGUAACUGGUCUGAGAGGCUGAUCCGCCACACUGGGACGGAGACACGGCCCAGACCCCUACGGGAGGCAGCAGUGGGGAAUAUUGGACAAUGGGGGGAACCCUGAGCCAGCCAUGCCGCGUGUGUGAAGAAGGCCUUAUGGUUGUAAAGCACUUUAAGCGAGGAGGCGUUACUCGCAGAAUAAGCACCGGCUAACUCUGUGCCAGCCGCCGCGGUAAUUC
rnacentral:rRNA from 1 species